UCCUGGUUUCCCAGGCAGUCUCAUCAGAGUGCCUUCUUGCGAAGUAGCAACUGAUGACAGGAGUUGCGCUCGUUAAAGGACUUAACCCAACAUCUCACGACACGAGCUGACGACAGCCAUGCAGCACCUGUGCAAAUGUCUGAGGUUACCCCCAGAAAGCUCUAUCUCUAGAGUUGUCAUAAGCAUGUCAAGCCUAGGUAAGGUUCCUCGCGUAGUGUCGAAUUAAACCACAUGUUCCACCGCUUGUGCGGACCCCCGUCAAUUUCUUUAAGUUUUAAUCUUGCGACCGUACUCCCCAGGCGGAUCACUUAUCGCGUUAGCUACGACACUGAUUCUGCAGAGCAGAACCAACGUCUAGUGAUCAUCGUUUACGGCGUGGACUAC
rnacentral:misc_RNA from 1 species